AUCCAGGAAGGAGAAGGAGCAGAUUGGGCUGGGAGGGGCUGACAGCACCCGGUCGGGUUAGACAUGGGUCGUCUGAGCCGCAGCUGAACCUGGCGUUGGAAAUCUCCCGUCUGAGUGGCUUACUACACAGCUUCAGCACACUGGGCCUCCACGACCGGACCCAGGGGCUUCCUUCUGAGGAGUUAUCUUCAUAUCUUGAAGUUGGUGGAGGGAUCGCAAGACCCUUUUGCUGGAAGGGAGUUAAAGAGCCAGAAACCCUUCCGGCCUCUUGUCACCUCCUCUGAUUUAGCACCUGCUGUUUCUGUGAUAUUUUAUAGACUUACCUGACCUCCAGAAAAUUCAAGGAGUUUGCCAGUGGGGGACUGUCAAGCUGCUGGAGAGGUGGUCGUCACGAUUUAAGCCCGUACUCACACGCUUGCUGGAUAAACAAGAACCCCCUCCCUCUGCGGGUGACACCCCCAGCGUGUGACAGUUUUUAGAAUCAGAACUGCUGAGGGGCACUGUCAGGUUCCCCCGUAAGCAAUUAUACCCACCUUGGCCCUGCGGAUUUCAGAGAAGACAUGUUGGUCCCUUUGAUUUUAAAAAGUCAAUCUCUGCAUGAAGACAUUGAAACAAACAAGAGGGCUUGGGCAUCAGCUACAGACAUGCAGUGAGUCACAGCAGCACACUUUCCCGACCUUUGCCCCGCGUCUGACAGAAGGGAAGUGAACCUCUUUUGACACAGCCCUUGUGAAGUCCCCUUAGCUUUGUCGUGUUCUUUCCUGUGAGCAGAGCUCAAGGCACAUGGCUUUGCCACUUCUGCAGCGGACCUUAAAGUGGAAGAACGCGCCUUCACAUGCUGGCUGGAAAUGCGAAGUUCCCGAACACCCAGACAGUGUUCCUGCCAGUGUCCUGGCUGGUUUUACAGUGUGAACACUGGGGCUUCUCCUUAAGUGUCCCGGCUUCAAGUCAGCCCUGCAGGUUUUCCUCCUCUGUGUGCAGCCUCUCCUGGAGGACCCUCUCAUGCCUAGCCCCAGGGUGGAUGAACACUGGAUCCUCCACAGGGCUUACUCCUUCUCCAAGUGACCCUCCUGCCAGGGCAGCCCCUGUGCCCCAUCUUGUGGUGACACACACACCUGGCAAACAUUGCUCCACCCACUGUUGUAGGUGAGCCCCUGUCCCACGGCAGGGCCACUGAACCUGGAAGCUAAAUUGAAGCUGCCUCAGUUAGGAAGCAGAUCUCAGAUGCCAUGUGGGACCAGAGACUUUGUAAGUCCCCAGGGGAGGUUAGGGACCAUGCAAGGCUGACCCCAUUGCUACAAACACCGAACGCCAGCUGCAUCACGCAGCAGAGUGUCCCAGCCACAACUGCAGGGGGCCACUGGACCACCAUGAGCCUGGGAGCCCUGGCUCUUGACAGAGGUCCUGGGGUGAUGCCCGGGACCCUCCACAAGGGCGGGAAGCCAAGAGAGUCCUCUGGGGACAGAGGCUUUUGUAGGAGCCCAGAAACUUUGCAUCCUAAGGGACGAUGGCAUUCCUCCUUGCGGGGAUGGUGCAAAAGCUCAGGCUUGUUGGCUUAUUUGAGCUGCCAUCUCCUCCCUUGUUUUAUGGGUUAGACUGAUGUGGCUGGAAUGGAGUAUGGUAUUGAGAUCAGGAGGAUCUGAUGGGAUCCUCAUCAUAUGAUCCAUCCUCAUGAUGUGAAUGGAAUGGAGUAUGGUACUGAGAUGGGAUCAGGAGGCCCCAGCCCACUUCUCCAAGAAACUAAAAAAAACUGUGGAUGCCUAGGUGGGCGGAUCGCUUGAGGUCAGGAGUUUGAGGCCAACCUGGCCAACACGGUGAAACCCCGUCUCUACUAAAAAUACAAAAAUUAGCCGGGUGUGGUGGCGUGCGUCUGUAGUCCUAGCUACUAGAGAGGUUGAGGCAGGAGAAUCACUUGAAUCCAGGAGGCAGAGGUUGCAGUGAGCCAAGAUCGCGCCCCUGCACUCCAGCCUGGGCAACAGAGCGAGACUCUAUCACACACACACACACACACACACACACACACACACACACACACACAAUUUUGGUAAAUAUACAUAAAUAAAAUGUACUAUGUUAACCAAUCAUAGAUGCACAAUUCCGUAGUGCUAAGUAUAUUCACACUGGUGUGCAAACAACCUCCAGAACUUUUUCAUCUUGCAAAACUGCAACUUUGUGUCCAUGUAAAGCAACCCCCCUUUCCUCCGUCCCCCGAGUCCCUGGCAAGCACCCCCAAGGGAUGUUUUAGUGACUUCAGUGUCUCCACGUGAUAAGGAUGUUGAGAAUUUGAGGUGAGCACCAACAUGUCAGGUGCUACACAGUGGCCCAUGAGAGAUUUAUAUAUAAAUUAUUUCCUGGCAGCCGAGCCCCAUGGCUCAUGCCUGUAAUCCCAACAGUUUGGGAGGCCGAGUCAGGUGGAUCACUUGAGCCCAGGAGUCUGAGACCAGCCUGGGCAACAUGGUGAGACCCCUGUCUCUACCCACUAAUAAUACUAAUUAUCUUCAUCUCCUGGAUCUCCAGUGCAACAGAGAAGGAUGCAGGUUUAGAGAAGGGCCUGUGGAGGCUCAGUUCCCAGCAGUGUGACAUUGGGCACCUUGGGGCUCACACCUGACAGUGACGUUGGGGAUCCCUGCCUGGCUGCACCGUGCUGUUCCCUCUGCCCUUCCCAGCACCGUGGGUGAAGCUGACUCCUUCUCCCCGCUGGCCUCAGCCCUCUCCCACCUCCUAAAGAGGCAGCCCCAAAGGGACGGCCGUGCCCACCCAGCCCGUGCCACUCUUGCAUCCCUUUCUGCUGUUUUCCUUCAGAGCACCUGGCUCUAGAGCCACAGGUCCUCACAGUGGGUGUCUCCCAAGGCUACCAUUUCUCAGCACAUCCUGGAGAGGGUGAGAGAGAGCACUGAGUGGACCAUCCAAGAGCACGGCCGCAUCCCAAAAGUCCUGCUUCGGAAUGGACUGACUUGUGUGAGGCAUCUGCAGCUGCCCUACAGAGGUUGUGGGGGACAGGCUUUCAGCUGCAAAAUGUUCCCGUAGCUGCUUCUUCCUUCACGCUUGACCUUCUGAAAUCAACUAUGCGUUACUUCUGAAAUUUAAAAAAUUCCAGAAAAAAAAAGAGAAGAAAAUCCAGACAGUCUAAAGAAAGUGUCUCAAGCAAUUCUGCCGAUGAACUGGGUUUGGAAAUGCUAACUUCUACCCUGGAAUGUUGGCAUGGCCAAGGUGAUGCCAACUGGCUCCGGGUAGCGGGAUGGAGUGAGAGUGUUUGGCAAAGGUUGCAGACUGGUGACCUGUGAGUCAGCCGGAUCUGACCAGUCCAGUGCCCUGGGCCAAGCCUUCCCAGUGUAGGGGAGUUGCUCACACUGCAGUUCACAGAGUCCCCGGGGGCUGGCGCACUCUGUACUUCCUGCCUGGCCCUGUAGGCGUUCAGCUUUGCAAUAGCUGGUGGGGAGUGGGGGCAGAGGGGGGCAGCUCCUCCAACUGCCGUAAAGCUGAACCUCAGCCCUGUCCCAGGAAUCAGGGCUGCCCACAUGAGGGCAGGUGCGUGCCGAGGUGGCCCCACCCGGAUCCCUGUACCUGGAGCAGUGUUCUGGGCCUAAUGGCAGCCUCCAGAAGUGACCACUUACUCCCAGCCUACAACCAGGGCCUCACUGCCUGAUGUGGGGUACAGCCACAGCCCCUUUCCUCAGCGAGGGGCAACGCAGUGGUGUGACCACACGCAGAGGCUGUCUCGGCUCUUUCCUUCCCCACAGCCCCCGGCUUGCUCAAGGCCCCCUCCCAUUGCCACUCAUCUUUUCAAUAGACUGGCCAUGAGAAUCCGUCUCUCAGGCUGUGGGUCUAGGGAAGGGGUCCCAGGAAGCAGACUCUGCAGAUGAGACCCUGUCCAGGUGGGAUCCCUGCCAGUUGGGUGGCCCUGAGGGUCCCAGCACCUGGGAUGAGAAGAUUCUCAGCCCCAGUGUCCAGGGAGCUUCCCCUCAGCUGGGUGAGUGGGUAGGUGGCAGUGGAGGGAGGCACAGUGGCUGGAAGGUCAUGGGAAUAGUGGUUGUAAAGGCUAGAAGUGGGCAGCUACACCUUCAAAGAGGAAAACAGGCUGUCUUGGGGCUGAAGUCAAGGGUCUGAGACACGGGGAGGGGACCCCAAGCCUUGGGGGGGAAAUACUUGGGCAGGUGCAUCUGAAGUCUUUAAACGCCAGAUUCCACCUAAUUCUCUGGGCUUGCAAAAGUGGUCCCCUGCCCCUUGUUCAAAGAUAGAUUCCCCCGUUCACCCUCACCCUCUCUUCUGCUUAAAGGUAGAAAGGGGUCUGGUAUAGCGGUGUCUUGUGGGACAAAUCUUGGCUUCCUCAGCACCUGCCUCCCUCUCCUUCCUGGCCUGACCUCUGGGUGUCUGGUCAAAUCGCAGCACUGCCUGGCUGACACCUGGAGCAGGACCCAGAAGACCAUCCCUGAAGGGGAGUCUCCAGGGCUUUGGAUCCAGGGAAACAGGGUGGGGAACCCCUGGGAACCCCAGAGUCGGUAUGAAGAUUCUUUUAAGCUGAAGUCAUGUAAGAAAGAUUUAAUAGAUGCAGAAAGAAACCUUCUUAGAACUUCUCUCAUCUCACUAAAAGAAACUUCUAAGAGGUGAGAAGUGCCCUAAUUCCCUCUUUGAGGUGGCUUCUCCUCCCAGGAGAGAGAUCCAGAAUAAACCUGCUAUGAAUUCCUUCUCCAGGGGAGUUUUGUGACCAUGAUGAACACUCACAUCUGCAUAAACAAACUCUAUCCUUCACUUUCUCAUCUCCCAUUUGUCCUGCUAAAAGCCCAUGUGUCUUUCCUAAAGCAACUUUGUUCUUCCUUAGAAACCUGUCUCCUUCUCCCUUUCCCCUAUAAUUUAGGCACAUGCUAUGGUCUGAAUGUUUGUGUCUCUCCAAAAUCCCUGUGUUGAAAUCUAAUCUCUAACCUUGUGGAUUAAGAGGUGGGGAUUUGGGGGAGAUUAAAUCCGGAGGGCCCCACCCUCAUCCCUGGGAUUGGUGCCCUUAAAAAAGAGGUGGAAGAGGCUGCCUUAUCCCUUCCAUUGCGUGAAGAUGCAGGCAGAAAGUGCCAUCUUGAAAGCAGAGAGCGUGCCCUCACCACACACGGAAUCUGCUGGCACUAGGGAGGUAGGAGGUGAGGCUUGACUCUGGAGGUGGGGCUUGGACAUCAGAUCAAAUUGAGGACUAGCUAAAACAGGGCUGGGGUGGAAGCAGCUUUCCAUCAGACAGCCCACCAGUGUGCAAUGUCAGUUGACCAUCGCCAUGGCAACGCCUGGGAGUUACUGCCCCUUUCCAUGGCAAUGACCCAAAGACCCAAAAUUCCCUAGGAAUGUCUGCAUAACCCACCCUUAAUCUGCAUGCAAUGAAAAGUAGGUAUCAAUAUGACUACAGAACUGCCCUGAGCUGCUACUCACUGCCUGUGGGUUAGCUCCACUCUGCAGGAGCAGUCCUGGAGCUGUAACUCCACUGCUUCAAUGAAACUUUCCUUCUACCUCUGCCUUGCCCUUAAAUUCUUUCCUGGGCAAAACCAAGUGUCUUCACAGGCUAAGCUCCACUUUGGGCUUGUCUGCCCUACAUCACCUUGAUCUUGGAUUCUUCAACCUCCAGAACUGUGAGAAAUAAAUUUCUGUUGCUUGGUAUUUUGUUCACACUGCAGGCACGGGCCCUUUGAGUUCCUCACCACUGAGCACUCUGCAUGUGUGUGUGCUGGACAUGUAAAUCAACUCUGCCUUUUCUUUCCUUUUUUUUUUUUUUUUUUUUUUUGAGACUGAUUCUUGCUCUGUCGCCAGGCUGGAGUGCAGUGGCAUGAUCUCAGCUCACUGCAACCUCCACCUCCCAGGUUCAAGCGACUCCCCAGCCUCAGCCUCCAGAGUAGCUGGGAAAACAGGCGCACGC
rnacentral:lncRNA from 1 species